rnacentral:rRNA from 2 species
AGGUGCGAUCAUACCAGCACUAAUGCACCGGAUCCCAUCAGAACUCCGCAGUUAAGCGUGCUUGGGCGAGAGUAGUACUAGGAUGGGUGAUGUAACACCCCGUUUUCCCAAUGU